rnacentral:rRNA from 1 species
CGAGCGGCGAACGGGUGAGUAACACGUGAGCAACCUACCCUCAACUUCGGGAUAAGCCUCGGAAACGGGGUCUAAUACCGGAUAUCACUCCUUUCCUCAUGGUUUGGGGUUGAAAGUUCUGGCGGUUGGGGAUGGGCUCGCGGCCUAUCAGCUUGUUGGUGGGGUAAUGGCCUACCAAGGCGUCGACGGGUAGCCGGCCUGAGAGGGCGACCGGCCACACUGGGACUGAGACACGGCCCAGACUCCUACGGGAGGCAGCAGUGGGGAAUAUUGCGCAAUGGACGAAAGUCUGACGCAGCAACGCCGCGUGAGGGAUGACGGCCUUCGGGUUGUAAACCUCUUUCAGCAGGGACGAAGCGAGAGUGACGGUACCUGCAGAAGAAGGACCGGCCAACUACGUGCCAGCAGCCGCGGUAAUACGUAGGGUCCGAGCGUUGUCCGGAAUUAUUGGGCGUAAAGGGCUCGUAGGCGGUUCGUCACGUCGGGAGUGAAAACUCGGAGCUCAACUCCGAGCCUGCUUCCGAUACGGGCAGACUAGAGGUAGGCAGGGGAGAGCGGAACUCCUGGUGUAGCGGUGGAAUGCGCAGAUAUCAGGAAGAACACCGGUGGCGAAGGCGGCUCUCUGGGCCUUACCUGACGCUGAGGAGCGAAAGCGUGGGUAGCGAACAGGAUUAGAUACCCUGGUAGUCCACGCCGUAAACGUUGGGCGCUAGGUGUGGGGGACAUUCCACGUCCUCCGUGCCGCAGCUAACGCAUUAAGCGCCCCGACUGGGGAGUACGGCCGCAAGGCUAAAACUCAAAGGAAUUGACGGGGGCCCGCACAAGCGGCGGAGCAUGCGGAUUAAUUCGAUGCAACGCGAAGAACCUUACCUGGGUUUGACAUAUAGGGAAAUCCUCCAGAGAUGGGGGGUCCGUAAGGGUCCUAUACAGGUGGUGCAUGGCUGUCGUCAGCUCGUGUCGUGAGAUGUUGGGUUAAGUCCCGCAACGAGCGCAACCCUCGUCCUAUGUUGCCAGCACGUUAUGGUGGGGACUCAUAGGAGACUGCCGGGGUCAACUCGGAGGAAGGUGGGGAUGACGUCAAGUCAUCAUGCCCCUUAUGUCCAGGGCUUCACGCAUGCUACAAUGGCCGGUACAAAGGGCUGCGAAACCGCAAGGUGGAGCGAAUCCCAAAAAGCCGGUCUCAGUUCGGAUUGGGGUCUGCAACUCGACCCCAUGAAGUCGGAGUCGCUAGUAAUCGCAGAUCAGCAACGCUGCGGUGAAUACGUUCCCGGGCCUUGUACACACCGCCCGUCACGUCAUGAAAGUCGGCAAC